rnacentral:tRNA from 1 species
GGAGACGUGGGUGAGUGGCUGAAACCAGCGGUUUGCUAAACCGCCGUACCGGGUUUACUGGUACCGAGGGUUCCCAUACCCAUCCACGUCCACCA